UUUUACCAAAAACAUGUCCUUAUGAAGGUAUAUGUGGUCUGACCUGCCCACUGAUUAUUUGAAGGGCCGCGGUAUUUUUGACCGUGCGAAGGUAGCAUAAUCAUUAGUCUUUUAAUUGGAGGCUAGAAUGAAUGGUUGGACGAAAAACACACUGUUUCAAAUAAAGGUUUUGAAUUUAACUUUUAAGUGAAAAGGCUUAAAUGGUUUAAAAAGACGAUAAGACCCUAUAAAUCUUAACAUUUGCUUUAUAUUUUUUGAAUUAUUGUGUGUUAAAAAUAGGUAAAAAGGAUGUGUUGUGUUGGGGCAACAGUAAUAUAAUAAAAUUAGUUGUUAUUAAAUUAAAACAAAGAUACUUGUUAAAAUAAAAGAUCCUUUAUAAAGAUUUAAAGAUUAAGUUACUUUAGGGAUAACAGCGUUAUUUUUUCUGAGAGUUCUUAUCGAAGAAAAAGAUUGCGACCUCGAUGUUGAAUUAAAAAUUCUUUUUGAUGCAGAAGUUAAAAAAGAAAGUCUGUUCGACUUUUAAAUUUUUACRUGAURUGAGUUCAAACCGGCGUGAGCCAGGUCGGUUUCUAUCUUUUAAAAAAAGAUUAACUGUUUUAGUACGAAAGGAUU
rnacentral:rRNA from 1 species